CACUUACGCUGCAGGCAACAAAGUUUUGUCAAGAUGGUGAUUUUAAACUGUGUAACAUUUGUAAGUCUGAUGCUUCCAUUCGGUUCUCCAUUUCCGCAAGCGGGUCUAACCGAGCAGCCAGUCGACUACCAGUGCAUGGGAAAGAACGGAAACUUUUGUUAUGUUUUAACUGCGGGGUAUAAUGGAGAAAUGGACUACAAGGGCGGAACAUGCAACAAUAAAAAAUGUCAAUAUACCGAAAUUCCACAAGGGUGU
rnacentral:lncRNA from 1 species